GGUUGGCAGACAUGAGGAGGUUUGGGGAGAGAGGUACACCGUUCCCCACACCUGGUCCUCUGCAUCUCAUCGUCCCAAGUUCCUGAGUUACAACCUGUUCUCAUCAACCAUGAUCUAGAUCCAAACUGGGAUCCCGUCUUUCAUACGUGUCAUGGCCGCUGACUGUCCGCCUGUGUGGGGAAGGUCCUACGUGUUUCCUGAUCUUUUGGGACCUAUUUGUGAAGAAUAACGAUAUGUCACAGUAUGAAUGAUAAUUACAGGGGCAAACUAUUUAUACUUCAUAAGGAAGACCUUGAUUCUGAACAUCACCAUGAACUAUCAGUGUGGUAGCAGGGAUUAGAAAGCAUGCCGCAUGAGGACUGCUUACAGCGAAUCUCACUCGUAACCUUGAACUUUUAAAAUGUCCUAGAAACCAUUUGAUACAGAUUAUAAAUUAUGCCUCUUUACCAAGAGU